rnacentral:rRNA from 1 species
UACGAAGGGGGCUAGCGUUGUUCGGAAUUACUGGGCGUAAAGCGUGCGCAGGCGGCCAUCCAAGUCAGUGGUGAAAGCCCGGAGCUCAACUCCGGAAUUGCCAUUGAAACUGUUUGGCUCGAGUACGAGAGAGGUGAGUGGAAUUCCCAGUGUAGAGGUGAAAUUCGUAGAUAUUAGGAAGAACACCGGUGGCGAAGGCGGCCAUCUGGCUCGGUACUGACGCUCAGGUUCGAAAGCGUGGGGAGCAAACAGG